rnacentral:lncRNA from 1 species
AGUUUGAGAGAUGAAUGCAAAGGAAAAAAAUAUUUUCCAAAGUCCAUGUGAAAUUGUCUCCCAUUUUUUGGCUUUUGAGGGGGUUCAGUUUGGGUUGCUUGUCUGUUUCCGGGUUGGGGGGAAAGUUGGUUGGGAUGGAGGGAGUUUACAGGAAGCAGACAGGGCCAACGUCGAAGCCGAAUUCCUGGUCUGGGGCACCAACGUCCAAGGGGGCCACAUCGAUGAUGG